GUGGGGGAUAUUGCGCAAUGGGGGCAACCCUGACGCAGCAACGCCGCGUGAAGGAUGAAUGUUUUCGGAUUGUAAACUUCUUUUAUUAAGGACGAAAAAUGACGGUACUUAAUGAAUAAGCUCCGGCUAACUACGUGCCAGCAGCCGCGGUAAUACGUAGGGAGCAAGCGUUGUCCGGAUUUACUGGGUGUAAAGGGUGCGUAGGCGGCUUUGCAAGUCAGUUGUGAAAUCUAUGGGCUCAACCCAUAAACUGCAUUUGAAACUGUAGAGCUUGAGUGAAGUAGAGACAGGCGGAAGUCCCCGUGUAGCGGUGAAAUGCGUAGAGAUGGGGAGGAACACCAGUGGCGAAGGCGGCCUGCUGGGCUUUAACUGACGCUGAGGCACGAAAGCGUGGGUAGCAAACAGGAUUACAAACCCCGGUAGUCC
rnacentral:rRNA from 1 species